AUUGAACGCUGGCGGCAGGCUUAACACAUGCAAGUCGAGCGGGGGAAGGUAGCUUGCUACCGGACCUAGCGGCGGACGGGUGAGUAAUGCUUAGGAAUCUGCCUAUUAGUGGGGGACAACAUCUCGAAAGGGAUGCUAAUACCGCAUACGUCCUACGGGAGAAAGCAGGGGAUCUUCGGACCUUGCGCUAAUAGAUGAGCCUAAGUCGGAUUAGCUAGGCGGUGGGGCAAAGGCCUACCAAGGCGACGAUCUGUAGCGGGUCUGAGAGGAUGAUCCGCCACACUGGGACUGAGACACGGCCCAGACUCCUACGGGAGGCAGCAGUGGGGAAUAUUGGACAAUGGGGGGAACCCUGAUCCAGCCAUGCCGCGUGUGUGAAGAAGGCCUUAUGGUUGUAAAGCACUUUAAGCGAGGAGGAGGCUACUCUAGUUAAUACCUAGGGAUAGUGGACGUUACUCGCAGAAUAAGCACCGGCUAACUCUGUGCCAGCAGCCGCCGUAA
rnacentral:rRNA from 1 species